GAUGAAGAACGCAGCGAAAUGCGAUAAGUAAUGUGAAUUGCAGAAUUCAGUGAAUCAUCGAAUCUUUGAACGCUCAUUGCGCCCGCUAGUAUUCUGGCGGGCAUGCCUGUCCGAGCGUCAUUUCAACCCUCAAGCCCCCGGGCUUCGUGUUGGGGAUCGGCGAGCCUCCGCGCCCGCCGUCCCCUAAAUCUAGUGGCGGUCUCGCUGUAGCUUCCUCUGCGUAGUAGCACACCUCGCACUGGGAAACAGCGCGGCCACGCCGUUAAACCCCCAACUUCUGAACGUUUGACCUCGGAUCAGGUAGGAAUACCCGCUGAACUUAAGCAUAUCAAUAAGCGGAGGA
rnacentral:misc_RNA from 1 species